rnacentral:rRNA from 1 species
UGGUGGGUAGUUUGACUGGGGCGGUCUCCUCCUAAAGAGUAACGGAGGAGCACGAAGGUUGGCUAAUCCUGGUCGGACAUCAGGAGGUUAGUGCAAUGGCAUAAGCCAGCUUGACUGCGAGCGUGACGGCGCGAGCAGGUGCGAAAGCAGGUCAUAGUGAUCCGGUGGUUCUGAAUGGAAGGGCCAUCGCUCAACGGAUAAAAGGUACUCCGGGGAUAACAGGCUGAUACCGCCCAAGAGUUCAUAUCGACGGCGGUGUUUGGCACCUCGAUGUCGGCUCAUCACAUCCUGGGGCUGAAGUAGGUCCCAAGGGUAUGGCUGUUCGCCAUUUAAAGUGGUACGCGAGCUGGGUUUAGAACGUCGUGAGACAGUUCGGUCCCUAUCUGCCGUGGGCGCUGGAGAACUGAGGGGGGCUGCUCCUAGUACGAGAGGACCGGAGUGGACGCAUCACUGGUGUUCGGGUUGUCAUGCCAAUGGCACUGCCCGGUAGCUAAAUGCGGAAGAGAUAAGUGCUGAAAGCAUCUAAGCACGAAACUUGCCCCGAGAUGAGUUCUCCCUGACUCCUUGAGAGUCCUGAAGGAACGUUGAAGACGACGACGUUGAUAGGCCGGGUGUGUAAGCGCAGCGAUGCGUUGAGCUAACCGGUACUAAUGAACCGUGAGGCUUAACCUUAC